rnacentral:rRNA from 1 species
CCUACGGGUGGCUGCAGUAGGGAAUAUUGCUCAAUGGGCGAAACCCUGACGCAGCAACGCCGCGUGGAGGAUGAAGGUUUUCGGAUUGUAAACUCCUUUUGUUAGAGAAGAUAAUGCGGGUAUGUAACGAUUAAGCACCGGCUAACUCCGUGCCAGCAGCCGCGGUAAUACGGAGGGUGCAAGCGUUACUCGGAAUCACUGGGCGUAAAGAGCGCGUAGGCGGGGUAGCAAGUCAGAUGUGAAAUCCUAUGGCUUAACCAUAGAACUGCAUUUGAAACUGUUAUUCUAGAGUACGGUAGAGGAAGGUGGAAUUCUUGGUGUAGGGGUAAAAUGCGUAGAGAUCAAGAGGAAUACUCAUUGCGAAGGCGACUUGCUAGACUAUAACUGACGCUGAUGUGCGAAAGCGUGGGGAGCAAACAGGAUUAGAUACCCGUGUAGUC